ACGUAGGGACCAAGCGUUGUUCGGAUUUACUGGGCGUAAAGGGCGCGUAGGCGGCGUGACAAGUCACUUGUGAAAUCUCUGGGCUUAACCCAGAACGGCCAAGUGAUACUGUCAUGCUAGAGUGCAGAAGGGGCAAUCGGAAUUCUCGGUGUAGCGGUGAAAUGCGUAGAUAUCGAGAGGAACACCAGAGGUGAAGACGGGUUGCUGGGCUGACACUGACGCUGAGGCGCGAAAGCCAGGGGAGCAAACGGGA
rnacentral:rRNA from 1 species